AGUUCACAAACUAAUUUGGAUUUGCAUUUUAAGAGGCACCCACUGAUCUUUUUCCCUGUGAGCUCCUGUCACCUGCACAUUCUGGCAGGACAGACAUCUUUCUGCUGUUGUACACUGCCGUCUGCAUCAGAGAAGGAAAUUGCUGAAGGAACUCCUUAUGAGAUAUGUUAGGGUAACUGGUUCAGUUGCAUGGAGGUGGCAGAUAUGAUGCAGAACUUCUGGGACAGUCAUAUUCUUCUGGCAGCUGGACGCAAGUUUCAAAGUGAAUCAGAAGGACAUUUGUAAAAUGACCGAAGUAGAAAUGGGUGGUCCGUAAUUACCAAAUAAGCCAGUGGCAGAGCCAGAAUGAGCAGAACUUUCUUGUGCUGUGUCACCCCACAACCAGUUGGAACAUCAGGCAAACAACAACAUUGCAUUUUGCAUUAAGUAUACUUGUGAAAACUGGAAAAAUAACAAGAAAAACACAUGGCUUAUCUGCGUAAGACACAGAGACUAUAUUUACUUCCAACUCACUGAGAGUCAAUAGCAGCAGAUGGAGUCCAUAAUUCACUAGGUCUGGGGCUUCCAUUAACUUUGAAUGAGAGUCUCAAGCCAAAUCCUCAUAUUUCU